rfam:Triticum aestivum genome assembly, contig: Triticum_aestivum_CS42_TGACv1_scaffold_556715_7AL
CCUCUACUCCCUCCGUACGGAAUUACUUGUCGCAGAAAUGGAUGUAUCUAGACGUAUUUUAGUUCUAGAUACAUCCAUUUCCGAGACAAGUAAUUCCGAAUGGAGGGAGUACAUC